CAUGCUCAAUUAGAUCUAAAGUACUCAAACUUCCAGUUCCUUCAUCCU
rnacentral:sRNA from 1 species